rnacentral:rRNA from 1 species
UACGGAGGGGGCUAGCGUUGUUCGGAAUUACUGGGCGUAAAGCGCACGUAGGCGGCUUUGUAAGUUAGAGGUGAAAGCCCGGAGCUCAACUCCGGAACUGCCUUUAAGACUGCAUCGCUUGAAUCAUGGAGAGGUCAGUGGAAUUCCGAGUGUAGAGGUGAAAUUCGUAGAUAUUAGGAAGAACACCAGUGGCGAAGGCGGCUCACUGGUCCGGUACUGACGCUGAGGUGCGAAAGCGUGGGGAGCAAACAGG